UUAGAAUGUUUCAUAAUAAUCACUUUGAUUUGUGUUUUGUCUAGAAUCUCUUCUUUCUUGCUUCUGGGGCCUUCUUAUUUGCUGAUCUCGAAAUCUCAAACUGCAGAAUGUCUAUUUGAAAUUGCAGAAUGGUUGAAUCAUUCAUAGCAAAGUCAUUGAAAAGCUAUAUAUUUCUUGGUCUAAAGCAUUGUUCUUUUACAUGGAACUCCAGGGACUAGAAAAACCGCUUUAUGUAAAGCAUUAGCUCAAAAACUAUCCAUCUGAUUUAACUCCAGAUACCUACAGUCCCAAUUGCUUCAAAUUAAUGCACAUUCUCUAUUCAGCAAAUGAUACUCUGAAAAUGGC